AUCAACUCAAGCUUCGAUUUGUUUUCUUCGGUUCCGGCUGCUUCGUCCUCCGGGUUCGGCGACGAAAAAAGACCCAACCAGCCUAGGAGGACCGUCCAGCCGCCUAGCGCCCGCCUAGCAGUCUUGCUGCCCGCCUAGGCCCUUUUUUAGAGUCUAAAGCAGAAGAUGCCGAGGAUAGACCCGAAACGGCUGCCUCUCAGGCUCAAAAGAUGGCUGACAUUGCUACAGGACAAUGGAUUCAAAUUCAGUGCCUUGAGCAGGCUCUUCAUAUUACACAAAACCAAAGGUUCCUCUUGGUUAGCAGAAUUCAAAGGAAUGUGGUUCCAGUGACCAUCUAGUAGAUGCAACUUUGCCUGCUACUGAAGUCAAAUCAUCAGAACUGAGUAUAAGGAAUGGUACAAAUAAUCUUCACUAUUAUUAUCAACAGUGUCUUCUG